rnacentral:tRNA from 1 species
GAGGGUAUAGCUCAGUGGUAGAGUACAUGCCUAGCAUGCACAAGGUCCUGGGUUCAAUUCCCAGUACCUCCA